AAGACUGAAAUCAAGACAUGGUCCAAGAGUCAUCUUGGUGUGAAUUUAUUUGAAGACAAAGAUACGUCCCCACAGUAUCAAGCAGAUCUUUUUACUUGGCCCAUUGCACCAGCUAAAUUUUCAACAAACAAGAUCAGUGUUUCACCUGUUGACAGUCAGGGUAUGAAUUUACUUGAAAACAAAAACGCAUUCUCACAUCAAGAUCUGUAUACCAGGCACAACACAGCAAGUAAAUACACAACAAGAGUGAUUCACUUAGCGCCCUUCAACAAUGAAGAAGAACCUUCCGAGUACUUUUCACCCCCUGUGACUGGACAUCCAAAACCACUUCACAGAGCAUUGGGGGCUGGACCGAGUGCUUAUAAAACCAAGCAGCUUCCUUCACCGGACAAAGGACAUUCAGUCCCAGGCAAGACCAACAGAAAGACUAAACAUGAGGGGCAUCAAAAAAAAUUGACCUCAGGGGAAAAAAAGGUUGAACUUAAAGAUACUCUGCCUGCUAUGAUCUCUACAGCUGCAAAACCUAUCUAUAAAGUGCCACGUACAGCUGCCCAAAAACCUCUACCCCGCCCACACUUCUGAGGAUAAAUAAACAACGAGCAGAUUUGUGGAGACAGUAGUGAAACUGCGGGAGUGGAAGCCUUACGAAAACAACAUGGCCUGGAGCCCACGGUGCGUCCUGAACGGCAGCGGGAGGUGCCGCUGCCCAUGGAGUGCUCUGAUCGGUAGCAGGCAGUGAGAUGCAGAAGACAGACCUGGACUGCCUCAGCCAGAGGGUUCUGAGAGGCCCACUCUGGUGUGUAAAUUAGAGUAUCAUCUUUAUAAACAAGCUCUGUGCAGAAGCUAGAAGAAAAAUUUUUUGUUCAUAAAAAUUACAGGCUCACUGACACUGUCAAGGCCCACUCAGGUGGCAGGAGUGCCUGCAGCACGCCAUUUUCUGUCUGUCGCCAUCUCUAAUCAGCAGCUGAUGUCCCGAAUACUCAGUUCCAAAGUCUCUCAUAGAGCUGGUCCAGGGGAGCUGAGACCCAGCAGGAGCAGAGGGUAAUCUAAGUGCAGCCGUUUGACACCUUAGUAUUAAUGAGAGGAAAACAUCUUCCCAGAAGAACAGGAGGCUUGACUUUGGGGAGGGUUAGGGAGCGCACUUCCCCUGCCAUGUGUUGGCGGCUACCUUUGUGUGCAGGGCCCUGGUGUCCGGUGCUGAGGGUGAGCGUGUUCUCUGGGAGGUCCGCCAGCACCAGCAGAUAUCACAGUGAGUCAGGGGGCGGGGGCGACGUGCACUUUCUGAUCAGAAAACAGUUCUCAGUAUGCUGUGCCCUUCUCUGGGGCGGUGAGCGCUGCACUGGUAAAAUCUCUAAAUAGUAUUUUGAAAAAUGCCAUGUACUGUGAAAUAUAGUCUAACGAUGAGAAAUGCACAAAACUUGAGUUUUAGAAAUGCUUAUGUGUAUAUCAGAGGCUGAAUUAAGUGAAAAAUCCGGUAACUGUUUAUUUUCAGAACUCUUCUUUACUGUCUGGAACAAACGAGGAACUCGAAGAUCAAAGCCUCUGUGUUGCCAAUGGUAAGAAAGGACUCUGUGCUGAAGUCCUCCUGGCUUCUGUUCACUAAUGUCCCAGCAGUGCCUCUGCUGUGAAAGCAAUUAAACGAAACGUGUGCUCCGCAUGUUCUGAUACUGUCAUGGUUAUUUAAGGGUCAGUUAUUUGCAGAGCCGUUCUUUAUGACACUGUGUAAAGCCGCCUCCAUACAUUUACACGUCCAGGUAGAGAAACUGAAUUCAGAAAAGAACUUGCUUUUGUUUCCUUGUUUAAUAUUAAAACUGAAAUUCACUGAAGAGAUCAAAGCCUUUAGUAUUUAUAUAAUAUUUACUAAACCUAGUGAGACUUACAAAUCAUACUAGUAACUCUAGCUGAACUAUAAGAGAUUAUUUAUAAACUCAAAGAACUUAUUCCAUGUGAGAGUGUUAUUAAUACCAAGUUUCACUGAUACUGGUGUUAAAGGGACACUGAAAAGAAUGGGAGGAAAAAACUUGUAAAUACUGGCUGAGUUUUAAUAGCCUGGUGUCUUUGUUGUUUUGUUUUAUAUUUUUGGCCCUGAGAUUGGUGAAUUUUCAUUCCUGUUUUUA